rnacentral:tRNA from 1 species
UCCCUGGUGGCUCAGAUGGUAAAGAACCUGCCUGCAAUGCAGGAGACCAGGGUUCUAUCCCUGGAUGGGGAA